CCCACCGUCCAUAGAGCGGGGGCCACACCCGUUCCCAUUCCGAACACGGAAGUUAAGCCCCGCUUCGGCGAUGGUACUGCACAUUUCUUGUGUGGGAGAGUAGCGCGACGGUGGGA
rnacentral:rRNA from 1 species